GCCCAGAGGCCUUAUACAGUUUCCUCUUGGGCCAGGGAUGUGGGCAUUGGUGAGCAGUGUUGGUGGUCUCUUCCGCUCUGCAGCCUCAGGAGUGCCCACCUGACCAGGCGGUUGGGUCUCUCUCUCACCGGGUCUGGGAGCAGAGAGCUGCUGCGGGCCGGGAUCCGCGGGUGUGGGACUUCCGGUAAACACAGACCGUGCCUCCUAGAGAAAUUCUGCUUCCGUGUCCCAAGCUCACCAGGCAGCUUUCUUGCAGCAGAAAGUUUGGUCUUACCUGUGGUCCCGAGGCUCAGGUUCGCUCGUGGGGUGCUGCCCAGGGGCUCUCUGCAGCGGCAGCAACCAGGGAGACCUGUGCCGCCCCUUCCCGGUGCUUGUUUUUUGAAAAUAGCAGGAAACUAAUCUUCUUUUGUCUUGCUUUCCAUCACUGGCUGGCCAAGCAUGGUUUUGCAGCAGAAUAUUUUCUUUGCUUACUUAAUUAGCUGCAUCUUAUUAGCCACUGGAUUUUUAAAAUAUUUAACAUCCUUUUAUAAUUCAUAUCUUUUUCAUUUCUUUUGGAUCGGCCACCGGAAGUCAAAUAUUAGAGGAAAUGUUUAAGUUCCACAAAAUGAAAUAUUCCUUUCCUUUAAAAAAGUGGUCAUAAUACUUUGAUACUAUAUUCUUGUUUUAACUUUAUGACAUUCAUGUUUGUAUCUUAAGGUCUUUGACCCAUUUGGAGCCUGUAAAAGUAUAUGAUAGAUAUAAAAUGACUAGAUUGUCUUUUACUAAAUUUACAGCCAAACCUGUGCCUAAAACUCCUUUUCCAAUGCCUUUCUUCUACUUUUUUCCAAUAUCACAUUCUCUGAGUCAUUAUUAGACAUCGCACAAAAAUUAAAUGUACAAAGAGUCAUUUUAGAAGUUAGUAUCUUUGACUUCUACACAUUAGCUCUAUAAAAAUCAGGUCUAAUAUUGACUUGUAUUGUUAGAUGAAGCGUCUUUUGUGUUUUUUGGAAACUGAUUUCUUGUUCCUUAUACUAAGAAAUUAGAUCAAUGUAACCAGAGCAUUUGAUCCAUCUGUGACUUCCUUUGUGUGCUGUUUCCUGAAUCAUCUCUUUGAUGAUUCCGUUUAGACCUAUUUAAUCUCUGCACAUGUUUGGGGCCUUUUACAAACCCUUCCUGGAUUCCCAGGAUGCAGAUGUUUUCUACCCUGUUAGCAACUUUACUUUUCAUUCUACAAGAGCAACAAUUUAAAUUCUAUUAGUCACAUUCUGACUCUCAGUGAUUACUCUUUCACAAUUUUGUGUCUUGGUCUCUGAUUUCUCCAACUAUUCAUCCACUUCUUUUCUCCAUGUGCUUCUCUAGUUUGCCCUCCAGUGAGGACCGUGUAUCCUUGCAUUUCCAUGAAUCUCAGAUAGAGUAGCUCACUCUGCUUGUGGAGAGACCCAUGCACUCUGCUGCACUGUGGAACAGGUCAGCUAGAGGAACACUAUGGUGUUGCCUCUCAGGCCACGGCAGUGGGGGUGCAUGGCCCACACUCAGUAGUCAAAGAUGAAUUUUGCAUAAUUUCCAAGUGAGACUCUUAUUUUAAAAGUUCUUAAAAUAUAAAGGUUAUGUAACUUCCUUUUAAAGCUUAAUUCAUGGUUGUAACUUUGGAAUAUAAUAUAUCAUGGCUGUUGUCUUUGUUUAGUGGCAUUUUCUGUUGGAUUCUUAUUGAUGACACUUAAAUUCUUGCAGAUUAAAUAGUGGACUGUUGUGGAAACACUGGAUAAUCUGCUUACUUUGUGUUGAGUUUAUAAGUAUGUGAAACGUACUUACAUUUUACCAGAAGCCAUAGCUAUGGGUGCUAGGAUCUGAAAAUAUCUGUAUGGGCUGUGUAUUAGGUAAAGAUGUUGAUGGUUAUUGGUCAGAUAAGGAAAAUUUAUUGGUGGGGUUGGUGUGGUGCUGCUUGUAUUUAAAUGCUCCCUACAUACUGGCUCCCAAGACCCCGAAGCCCUGAGGAACAGAUCCUCAAGUACCCCAAGUGAUGCUUUGUAAACUUUGCUUCUUAGUUUAACUCAUCAAAAAUGGAUAGAGUCUGUGAUUAGGCAAUAGAAGAAGAAAGGUGAGAUUGAGGAUGUAGUGGAGGGUCUCAAGAGAGAGGAGAAUGGGGAACAAGAGAGGAGACCAAGGGAGGAGGAAACCACCAUGUGAGGAGAUGGACCCUGAGCAUAUGGCCUGGAAAAACAGCAAGUAACAAGGGACAUUAUGGCAUGGAAAUAGGUUAGUAUAGCUGUAAACCUGCCCAAUUAGGCUUAUGACUUGUAAAUAAAGUACCUGGAUUGUGUGUCUUUUAUUUGGACUAGUUAGAGUGUUUAAUUCCUUUUAUAAUUGGUGCCUUUCACCCUGAGAUUAAGUCUCAUGCUCUACUGAAAUGAAGUUAGAUAUUGUACUGUGUGUUUCUGGUGGUGCAAUAACUUUGCUGUUUUUCAUAGAGCAUUGAGGUGUUUCAAUAUUUGUGAAAAAGAGGCAGUGAGUAGUUUUUUUUUAACUAUGUGCUACUGCAGUGUACACAGAAUAGCUUUGUUUGGAAUUAGCUAAAGUGAUAGGUUUGGGUCUUGCUUUACUAACAGUGUAGUUUGUAGCAGAAAAGUUUCUAUAAAUGCACACAUCAUACUUAACCUAAUAGUAUUAUCCAGAGCAAUGACCAAUUUCUUUAAUAUAUUCAUCCAUUAUUAAUUGACUUCUUUAUGGUUCAGGUGCCGGGCACAUUUAUACAUCUGGGUGAGAUUGCAAAUUUUGUUUGUAUAUUACAAAUGCCGGUAAGCUGUUUUUCUAUCGAAACUGGAAUUAUGUUCUGUAAAGCAGUUACUACUGACAAAAAUUGAGCUCAGGUUUUUUAGUUGAAGGUGCACUUGUUUCAUGACAAGUAGAAAAUAAUGCUGUUAGACUGUUUUUACCUGUGCGUAAAAGAAAAACUUUAAUGUUUAAGAUAAAGUGUCAUUAUAGUAUAUAAAAAUGUUCAUAUAAUGUACAUAUAUUUGUGUGUGUGUGUGUGUGUGUGUGUGUGUGUGCGCUCGCACAUGUAUGUUUGAUUGUAGUGUAUAGAUGAGAUCAUCAAGCUAACUGACUUAGUUUCUUGAUAUGGGAAACAGGAAACCAAAUUUUCUAAAAAUGAUUAGUAAGUUUUUGUUUAAUCAAAUGGCUGGCAGAAACUUGAAAUUUCUUUAACAUGUUAUUUUUAAGUUCUAUAGAAAGUUCUUUUAGGAAAGAAAAAAUAACCAUUCCAAGAAACUUCUUUUCUGUUUUUCCUGUUAUAGUGAGCUGCAUAGUUCUCCUAAGCAAGGAGGUGGACUUCAUCCUCCUUACCACUUUCACCCUUGCCUACCCCAGGGACUGUCUGAAAAGACCUAAUAUCAGAUUCAUCAGUGAGUAAGAAUCCCGAUUCUACGCAAAGAAAUUGAAUUGGUUCUGUUUUUUUCAAGAAAUGAAAUUGCUUCUUGUGGUUAUGAAGGCAGGUCCAUUAAUGAACAUAAGAGGAAGGACCAUGGAAAGGAAUAUAUCUCUUACAUAUUCACAGAAGAUUAUGCCAGCAGGAAUACUGCGUAUAAGACCGAAAUUUCACUGGAAGAACCUGACUGAGGAAGUGAAAAGGAAAAGAUGGGAAAUAGGAAAACAUUUGAAAAUAAGGCUGUUGACAGGCUGGAGAGGAAGGAGGAGAUUGAAAAUUUAAAUUGUGCUACCUGAAACAAUGUAUUUUCUUGGAUACAAAUAUGUCUUUGCCUAUUUAAAAAAGUACUAGUUACUAUGAGGUAUGAUUUAUCCAUGUCAGUUAUGGUACAAUAUGCUUUAGGAAUUUAAUUCCUGGGGACUGUAAUUGAAAGUUAGUGGUAUGGUUAUUUAAAAACUCUUUAAAAACAAUUUAAAGGAGAUAAUUUCUCACUGUAAUUGUGUACUUUUCUCCAUUUCCAUUGCUUAUGUAGAUACGUAUUACUUCUUACCAUCUUUUAAAUGAUGUUUAGUUACUUAUAAUAGUUUUUCUUUAUGUGAGCAUAGUUAUAAAUACACGUGAUAGUAUAAAAUAAUACAAAGAAUAGUGUACUCUACCUUACUUAUCUGUUAGUAAAAACUCAUUUGUGUGUGUGUGUGUGUGUGUGUGUGUACUUUAAAUGUGAGUGAGGCAUGUGCCUUGAGAGUGUGGUGGUUGCCAUGGCAACAGAAGCAAGCAGGUCUUUGUUACCUAAGGAUGAUGUCAUUGCUGGAUUCAGAGGCUAGCUGUAAACCACUUCUGAUGAUAACAUACCUCCCUUUUUCUUAUCAUAGAGAGAAGAAAAAAGGGAAACAGGGGAAGCCAAUGCUAAAAGGGAAAUCGGGGCUGUAGACCUCUUAAACUGCUCCCUGCUGUCUAGGAGCAUUAUCAGAUUUAGGGUGUAGCUGACUUUCACCAUCCGGGCCCACUUGAUAGUUGUGCAAAAGGAACUGUUUGACUUUUUGGUUAGAAAAUUUUGAAUUUUUCUUUGAAGGAAUGUGGAAACAAGAUUGAUGAGGCAGGGAGGAAAUAGUAGGUCCAGGAAAAUGGGGGGCAUUAAGAAGGGCAGUAUCCUAUUUCCAUGUAGGGUUUUGAAAAACCCAGGAAUUGGAGGCCUCAUGUUGUUCCCUGCAUUUCUGGAUGUCUGAUUGCAGCUAAUGGAAUGUAUUUCUUACUGCCCCAGAUUCGUUGACAUAGAAACAGCAUUCUUCCUGGUGAAACAGACAAAGACCACCUCCUUUAGCUGUCAGGACAUCUAGUCCCUGUCAGUUCUGAAGCACAACUGCUGCCAAAGAAUCGAUCUUUUUCUUGAUGAUGAGCAUGGUUUCAUACAUUCCUUGGAAACAGUUGCAAGCUGGGAUAAGAACUUCUGGUAUAGGGUUAGGGAAGUCUUCGGUCCUGCUGUUCCAGUGCCAGCACCUGUAGCUACUCCUGCAGCAACCAGGAAUGGCACAACCUGCAGUGCCCUCUUAUGCUGGACAGGUAUGCUACAGGUACAAAGGAGGGUCCCAGUUGGUGACCUAAAUUUCCAAAUGUUGGUAUCAGGAACUGCUUUUGCCUCCAGCAAUGAUGUCAUCUGGUCACCUGAGCAUCUGUUGUCAAGGCAACGGUCAUCCAUUUCCAGCAUACAUUUCAUGUUACAGUUACACCACAUUUCACAUAAAAGGCAGAUCCUUUCUGCCCUCUUCCACUUGUCUCUCCUCUCUUCCCUUUUUCUCCUCUCUUUCUCUCCUACCUCUCUUCACCCCUUGGCCUUUGUCUCUACCAUUCCAAUAAACCUCUCCAC